GGUACUUCUUGAAUGAUGCAUCCCGGUAUCGGGCUCCCUCCUCUCUGGUUCCUGGGUGUGUCACCUGAGAACCACC
rfam:Myotis davidii contig314835, whole genome shotgun sequence.